rnacentral:lncRNA from 1 species
UAGAUGUAUCAUGCUUUUGAGUGCUGACAGUUAUCUGGUACUUUGUUAUCCAAACUGUCAAGGAUAAUGUUAAGGCAUGGCUCACAAAAUUUUGGACCAGACUAUUCUGUGGUUGUUUCUGAAGGUCACGGAUUUGGCAGAUCAUUUCAUGGUUUACAAUAACCCACUUUAGUUCUUUAGAACCGCCUCUGAUUUCAGAACCUAUCACUUCAUGUAAUAAAUGGUUAGUGGCAUUUGGGUGUAUGUAGGCACUUGGCUUUGCGUUGAUCAGAUCUAUCUCUCCGCUAGUGAACCAGAGAGGCAUUAUCAGUUCAGUUCUGUCAGUCCCUUAGAGCUUUGUCUACAAAGUUUAUGAAUCAAUACUUGAUUGAAAUGCCAAACUAGAAAGUUUCUGUCAUUGUGAAAACAGAACCAUCCAUAAUGACUGGGACUCUCUCCUCUACCAAAGUGACAGAUUUCUGUUAUUCACAAGCAGGAGAUGAGACCUGCCCACUGUCCAGCUGUUGGCAUGCACUUCUGAUCUGUCCAUGUCUUACUCUCAUUUAGUAUAUCUGAACAGCUUACAGUAGUGUGAGUGAUGAGCUACUUCUGGGUUCCCAGAGAGCAAACAGUGUUCUGUAGCGUCUGUGAUCUGACUAUUGAUGGAGGAGGUCCAUGACCACUGUAUGCCAGGGAGAAGGACUGGGGUGCGUUUGGGACCUCUGCUCUCUUCAUGCUUUGAAAAGGAUGUCUGUUUCUACUCAGGAUGGGCCUCUGGAAGGGAGGCCCUUUAUGCAAGCAGCAUCUCCAUUCUCCCAGUCCCACCUCUUUCUCUCUUGUUACCAGAGAGAGCAAUACUAUCUAUCCAUGUAACGUGGUAUGUAGGCCAGUCUACUGAAAUCUGUUCUUGACUAUGGAGUAUUAUACCACUCUUUGAUAUUGUCUUAAGAGCUUUAAAAUCAUUUGAGUAUUAGCCUACACUUCAAACCACAGAAUGGGAGCUUUCUUCUGUGGGAAGAUGGCUUUCCCUGUGGGAUAAGGGGAGAGAGAGAACUGUGUUUUCAGUUUCGAUUACUGAAUUUUCUUCUUGUGUGACUUUGGUCAUUGAAAGUGUGUGAGUGGGACUCUAACUGUAAAAAGAACGCAGAUUAUAAUUCCUUCUUGCUUACCUCAUUAUGAUACUGUGCAGAUCAAAGAGGAAAUGUGUAUAAGAAAAGGGUUAAAUAUAGCUAUGUGUAAUUGCUAUUUUAUAAAAUCUUUCUUUGUGUGUGUGUAUGAGUGCGUGUGCACAGUUUUAUAUGUGCUGGCACACACGUGCAUGCGGAGGCUGGACAGUGGCGCUGAGAGUCUCCUUUAGUCCCUUUCUGCCUUGUUGUUUGAGGCAGUCUUUCAUCGAUUCUGUGACAAGCUGUUUCAGGAGGACAUCUGGAAAGUGUACCCCUUGCCAGAGAAAACACUCUCCUGACUUUUUAGAUGAUGUCUCUUGUAGUGACAAUAUUGGCAUUUUUGGUUUCUUUAAAAGCACAGAAAUAUUGUAAGAAUAUGUUUUCAUUUGACUCCCAGGUGUGGGAUGUGGGGCGGCUUUAGGCUGUCUGCAGCAGCUGACUGUGAUUUGCCUCGUGCUCUAGCAAGGACAUGAUUUUGCCAAUGGCAGAUAGUUUGUGCAAUUAUGUGAUAUUUGGAAUUCGGGGGGACUUUUCAGAGGUUAUAUAAAUGCUAGGGCCCCCAACGGGUGGGAUUGUUGUGGUUGUUGGAUGGUUGCUAUUGGUUAUUGUUGGCCAUUCAUUAAGCAGUUCAAU